UUCGGACACUUGCGUCUCUCUCUCUCUUCUUCCCUCCUUGUAGUAGCAACAGGUUUUCUCUCUCUACUGUCUCUCUCUGACCUGCUGUCUGCCCACGCUUUCCCCUUUAAAUUUACCAUUUUCCGUUUUCUGUUUCUCUCUCUUCUUUUCUCAAUCCAGUCCAACGAGUUUCGCACGUCUCUCUCUCUCUCUCAUCGAUCCAAGGAGCUUUUCCUCACCAACGUAUCGUAGAAUUGGGGAAAGGAAAUUUUUGUAAAAUUGGGGAAAGGAAAUUUUCCUAAAAUUGGGGAAAGGAAAUUUCUGAUUUGAUAUUUUCUAGGUCGUCUCAGAUUAGAGAAGUUCACUUCCCUCUUCGCGAGCUUCAUUCAAUUGUGACUGGUUUAUUGUAGUUCAUGAGAAUCAAUCGUUUCUUGAUAUGCACGACUGCAAAGGUGUGAUAUCUCCUUCAAAGCUUUAGGUUUGGACAGCUUAUGCUACUAGUUUUGGUAUGCUGUUGCACUUUUCACUUAUCAUCUAUCCCAUCUUGCUAAUGGUAAUGCAGUUUUAUUCGUCAUCCUAAUUGAUUCAUAUAGGUAUCUGGGUGGUCAUCCAAUUCAUUCGACUCAUUCCCUUCGUCACGUCAUUUGAUUUGUCCAUAUCCUUCAAUUGAACCAGAUUUCUAUUUUUGAAUAUUCAAACAAAUUCCUUUCUAUUUAUUCCAAUUUCCAAAACAUAUCAAGUAAUUUAUUCAGGUUACAAUGGGGUUUGUGGUCUUGGUUUCUGACACUGCACUUUUCUACCAUCAAUUUGGCGCUUCAUGGCUGAAGUGUCUCAUUGUUUACAAUGCAUGAUGAGAGGCCAUUUGUACAGAAUAAUAAUUUUUUGAAAUAUAUGCUAUUGUGUAUCAAUGAUCAGGGUAAUUAAAAAGCCGGGGGGGGCGAAGUAUUUUGGGGGAUGCCCUGCUUGGGACAAACCGAUGCACAUUAAGGUGGGUAGUGGGGAACUGGCAGCAUAUAGUAAUUGUUAAAAAGAAAUGCAUGAAAUAUUAUGAAUAAAUUAAAUGGAGUUUAACAUAUAUAUGCUAUUAAAAUAAUGGAAAAUGUGGCUGCACCACUUUUUAACAAAAAAGAAAAUGUUGCUGCACCAAAACAACCUUGUAGCCUAACCUUAUUCACCAUUUUUUUGAAUGAAAAUAUUUCUUCUUCCUCCAAAUAGCAAUCUCCUGCAAAUUAAAAAGGAAACACAGAUAAAGAAAAUUUAGAUUUGGAGCUCUAAACACCCUCCAUCUUCCCCCAAACUCAUAUCUGAUAUAUCCAUUUCAAUGGAGGUUAGAUUUAGGGGAUUUGAAGUUUCUAGGAAGAUUUUAAUGUACUUUGGAGUUUUUGGUUGUCGUCACGCAUCCAGAUAGAUGUUAUAAGAUGUGUGGCAAUGUGGCUUAUGUGUUUAUAUGGUUGCUCGGCUUCACCAUAUACUCACCUAAUAAUAACGUAUAAAUUUCAUUUACUAUGUGUCAUUUAAAUGAUUCAGCUACUUAAUUUUUUGAUAUUCCACUCAGCUCAGUGGGCAACUGAACCGGGAAACCCAGUUGAUCCCUGAGACUGAAGUUUUAGGUGGCUGAAUCAAAAAUAGUGGGUGGACCAGUAAAAUUGCAAGUGACCUAGCCGGACCCCUAAAUUAAGACUAUUUUAUAAUAAUUGGCAAACUCAUUGUAUAAUCUUUUUUUUUUUCUUUGAUAAUUAUAUGAUCUUCAUUUUUUUCUUAGGGGGCUUAUUAUGUAGUCUUGUUUUAUUGAUCCUCUGAUUUCGAAGUAUCAUUAAAUUAGUAGAAGAAUCUGUUUGACCAUUACUUACACUACUCGUUUGUUUUAGUUGGAAGUGAGUAUGAAGCAGCACCUGAAGGUACAGCAAGAUAGAGGUUAUACUUAGAGAGUGACAAGGCUGUCUGACAAGAAUUUAGAGGAGCAGAUGUUAGAGUUCCAUUUGAAAAGCUGCUUGUUGUAACACGUGCCAUGCUGCUUCUCAUCUUUCUUCAAUCUCUCGGCUGCCUAUUUACUGUAGUUAGUAUGAUAAACUAUGUUCUUCAUUUCCCUGAUCCCCUUUCUUUUACCAACCUUUCUGUCACACUUCACCUACUUAGUGCCCUUUCUUGAAUCCAAUAAGCGAAAGAGAUACUUAACCUCCUCUGUCCUUUUGAAAGAAAAUUCAAGCUUCCUCCCCACCUCUCAAAAUCUUCUCUUCUAACUUGUAAGUAUAUGAGACUCAUUUCAGGCAUGUUUUUUACUUGUCUAACAUGGACAUGGCUCAGAGAUAACAUUUUGACAAGACACACCACUGCAACAGCUCAUGUGUGUCUGUAAUGUGUCUUAAAGAUUUUCCUGUCAGACAUACGACUCUUGCGUGUCAAAUAUACCUGUGUAUCAUUGUACUGGA